rnacentral:rRNA from 1 species
GACGAACGCUGGCGGCGUGCUUAACACAUGCAAGUCGAGCGGUAAGGCCCUUUCGGGGGUACACGAGCGGCGAACGGGUGAGUAACACGUGGGUGACCUGCCCUCAGCUCUGGGAUAAGCCUGGGAAACCGGGUCUAAUACUGGAUAUGACUCCAUGACGCAUGUUGUGGGGUGGAAAGCCUUGUGCGGCUGAGGAUGGGCCCGCGGCCUAUCAGCUUGUUGGUGGGGUGAUGGCCUACCAAGGCGACGACGGGU